rnacentral:rRNA from 1 species
GAUGAACGCUGGCGGCGUGCUUAACACAUGCAAGUCGAACGGAAAGGCCCUGCUUUUGUGGGGUGCUUGAGUGGCGAACGGGUGAGUAACACGUGAGUAACCUGCCCUUGACUUUGGGAUAACUUCAGGAAACUGGGGCUAAUACCGGAUAGGAGCUCCUGCUGCAUGGUGGGGGUUGGAAAGUUUCGGCGGUUGGGGAUGGACUCGCGGCUUAUCAGCUUGUUGGUGGGGUAGUGGCUUACCAAGGCUUUGACGGGUAGCCGGCCUGAGAGGGUGACCGGCCACAUUGGGACUGAGAUACGGCCCAGACUCCUACGGGAGGCAGCAGUGGGGAAUAUUGCACAAUGGGCGGAAGCCUGAUGCAGCAACGCCGCGUGCGGGAUGACGGCCUUCGGGUUGUAAACCGCUUUCGCCUGUGACGAAGCGUGAGUGACGGUAAUGGGUAAAGAAGCACCGGCUAACUACGUG